rnacentral:rRNA from 1 species
GGGUUGUGAGGUUAAGCGACUAAGCGUACACGGUGGAUGCCCUGGCAGUCAGAGGCGAUGAAGGACGUGCUAAUCUGCGAUAAGCGUCGGUAAGGUGAUAUGAACCGUUAUAACCGGCGAUUUCCGAAUGGGGAAACCCAGUGUGUUUCGGCACACUAUCAUUAACUGAAUCCAUAGGUUAAUGAGGCGAACCGGGGGAACUGAAACAUCUAAGUACCCCGAGGAAAAGAAAUCAACCGAGAUUCCCCCAGUAGCGGCGAGCGAACGGGGAGGAGCCCAGAGCCUGAAUCAGUGUGUGUGUUAGUGGAAGCGUCUGGAAAGGCGUGCGAUACAGGGUGACAGCCCCGUACACAAAAAUGCACAUAUUGUGAGCUCGAUGAGUAGGGCGGGACACGUGGUAUCCUGUCUGAAUAUGGGGGGACCAUCCUCCAAGGCUAAAUACUCCUGACUGACCGAUAGUGAACCAGUACCGUGAGGGAAAGGCGAAAAGAACCCCGGCGAGGGGAGUGAAAAAGAACCUGAAACCGUGUACGUACAAGCAGUGGGAGCCUCUUUAUGGGGUGACUGCGUACCUUUUGUAUAAUGGGUCAGCGACUUAUAUUCUGUAGCAAGGUUAACCGAAUAGGGGAGCCGAAGGGAAACCGAGUCUUAACUGGGCGUUAAGUUGCAGGGUAUAGACCCGAAACCCGGUGAUCUAGCCAUGGGCAGGUUGAAGGUUGGGUAACACUAACUGGAGGACCGAACCGACUAAUGUUGAAAAAUUAGCGGAUGACUUGUGGCUGGGGGUGAAAGGCCAAUCAAACCGGGAGAUAGCUGGUUCUCCCCGAAAGCUAUUUAGGUAGCGCCUCGUGAAUUCAUCUCCGGGGGUAGAGCACUGUUUCGGCAAGGGGGUCAUCCCGACUUACCAACCCGAUGCAAACUGCGAAUACCGGAGAAUGUUAUCACGGGAGACACACGGCGGGUGCUAACGUCCGUCGUGAAGAGGGAAACAACCCAGACCGCCAGCUAAGGUCCCAAAGUCAUGGUUAAGUGGGAAACGAUGUGGGAAGGCCCAGACAGCCAGGAUGUUGGCUUAGAAGCAGCCAUCAUUUAAAGAAAGCGUAAUAGCUCACUGGUCGAGUCGGCCUGCGCGGAAGAUGUAACGGGGCUAAACCAUGCACCGAAGCUGCGGCAGCGACACUAUGUGUUGUUGGGUAGGGGAGCGUUCUGUAAGCCUGUGAAGGUGGCCUGUGAGGGUUGCUGGAGGUAUCAGAAGUGCGAAUGCUGACAUAAGUAACGAUAAAGCGGGUGAAAAGCCCGCUCGCCGGAAGACCAAGGGUUCCUGUCCAACGUUAAUCGGGGCAGGGUGAGUCGACCCCUAAGGCGAGGCCGAAAGGCGUAGUCGAUGGGAAACAGGUUAAUAUUCCUGUACUUGGUGUUACUGCGAAGGGGGGACGGAGAAGGCUAUGUUGGCCGGGCGACGGUUGUCCCGGUUUAAGCGUGUAGGCUGGUUUUCCAGGCAAAUCCGGAAAACCAAGGCUGAGGCGUGAUGA